rnacentral:lncRNA from 1 species
UUAUGAAACGCAUUAGAAAAUUCUAAUUUCUAUCAUUCAGGGAUGCCCAGUUCCACAGUGAAUUACACAACUACGGCCUCACCCAAACCAUCUACUGAACCCAACCCAGCAGUGAAUACCACAGUCACGGUGUCAACGAUAUCAUAUAAUGGAUCAAAAACAACAGGGAUGCCCAGUUUCACAGUGAAUUACACAACUGUGCUCUUGCCAAAACUAUCUACUGAACCCAACCCAGCAGCAAAUUCCACAGUUCGGCCCUCAUCCACCCCAGCUAAUGUAUCUAAACCAGCAGGGAAUUCCACAGUUGAACCUUCACCCACCCCAGUUACUGAAUCUAAACCAGCAGAGAAUUCCACAAUAGGACCCUCACCCACCCCAGCUAAUGAAUCUAAACCAGCAGGUGUGUUUUAG